UUUUCUUUAAUUUAUGUUGCAACCUUUUUCAGUGUUUGCUCUCUUGCUCUCACUGAGGACGGUAAGAACCCAAUUUCAUUUUCGUCUCCUUCGGGGCUCUUUCUUAAACCCGUUUGUCUGCCUAGAAAAUGAAGGAAAAACAAACGAGAAAAGGAAAAAAAGCUUCUGAUGAGGACUGUGGAGUUUUAUUAUGUUGAAAAUUUUACCACCAUGGCAACCAAACGUAGGUUAAGGCUUAGAUCUUUUUGCUUUGCUUAUUUAAUUUUGUUCUUGCAGGUCUGACAUUGUUAGAAAUCAAGAACACACUGAAUGAUAGUAGAAACAUACUAG
rnacentral:misc_RNA from 1 species